rnacentral:rRNA from 1 species
ACUACGGUGCUGAAGUAACAAAUGCCCUGCUUCCAGGAAAAGCCUCUAAGCAUCAGGUAACAUCAAAUCGUACCCCAAACCGACACAGGUGGUCAGGUAGAGAAUACCAAGGCGCUUGAGAGAACUCGGGUGAAGGAACUAGGCAAAAUGGUGCCGUAACUUCGGGAGAAGGCACGCUGGUGUGUAGGUGAAGUCCCUGCGGAUGGAGCUGAGACCAGUCGAAGAUACCAGCUGGCUGCAACUGUUUAUUAAAAACACAGCACUGUGCAAACACGAAAGUGGACGUAUACGGUGUGACGCCUGCCCGGUGCCGGAAGGUUAAUUGAUGGGGUUAUCCGUAAGGAGAAGCUCUUGAUCGAAGCCCCGGUAAACGGCGGCCGUAACUAUAACGGUCCUAAGGUAGCGAAAUUCCUUGUCGGGUAAGUUCCGACCUGCACGAAUGGCGUAAUGAUGGCCAGGCUGUCUCCACCCGAGACUCAGUGAAAUUGAACUCGCUGUGAAGAUGCAGUGUACCCGCGGCAAGACGGAAAGACCCCGUGAACCUUUACUAUAGCUUGACACUGAACAUUGAGCCUUGAUGUGUAGGAUAGGUGGGAGGCUUUGAAGCGUGGACGCCAGUCUGCGUGGAGCCAACCUUGAAAUACCACCCUUUAAUGUUUGAUGUUCUAACGUUGGCCCCUUAUCGGGGUUGCGGACAGUGUCUGGUGGGUAGUUUGACUGGGGCGGUCUCCUCCCAAAGCGUAACGGAGGAGCACGAAGGUUAGCUAAUCCUGGUCGGACAUCAGGAGGUUAGUGCAAUGGCAUAAGCUAGCUUGACUGCGAGCGUGACGGCGCGAGCAGGUGCGAAAGCAGGUCAUAGUGAUCCGGUGGUUCUGAAUGGAAGGGCCAUCGCUCAACGGAUAAAAGGUACUCCGGGGAUAACAGGCUGAUACCGCCCAAGAGUUCAUAUCGACGGCGGUGUUUGGCACCUCGAUGUCGGCUCAUCACAUCCUGGGGCUGAAGUAGGUCCCAAGGGUAUGGCUGUUCGCCAUUUAAAGUGGUACGCGAGCUGGGUUUAGAACGUCGUGAGACAGUUCGGUCCCUAUCUGCCGUGGGCGCUGGAGAAUUGAGGGGGGCUGCUCCUAGUACGAGAGGACCGGAGUGGACGCAUCACUGGUGUUCGGGUUGUCAUGCCAAUGGCACUGCCCGGUAGCUAAAUGCGGAAGAGAUAAGUGCUGAAAGCAUCUAAGCACGAAACUUGCCCCGAGAUGAGUUCUCCCUGAGACUUUAAGUCUCCUGAAGGAACGUUAAAGACGAUGACGUUGAUAGGCCGGGUGUGUAAGCGCAGCGAUGCGUUGAGCUAACCGGUACUAAUGAACCGUGAGGCUUAACC